GACUCCUACGGGAGGCAGCAGUGGGGAAUAUUGCACAAUGGGCGCAAGCCUGAUGCAGCCAUGCCGCGUGUGUGAAGAAGGCCUUCGGGUUGUAAAGCACUUUCAGCGGGGAGGAAGGCGGUGAGGUUAAUAACCUCAUCGAUUGACGUUACCCGCAGAAGAAGCACCGGCUAACUCCGUGCCAGCAGCCGCGGUAAUACGGAGGGUGCAAGCGUUAAUCGGAAUUACUGGGCGUAAAGCGCACGCAGGCGGUCUGUC
rnacentral:rRNA from 1 species